UACGAAGGGGGCUAGCGUUGUUCGGAAUUACUGGGCGUAAAGCGCGCGCAGGCGGUCUUCCAAGUCAGUGGUGAAAGCCCGGAGCUCAACUCCGGAACUGCCAUUGAAACUGUAAGACUUGAGGAUGAGAGAGGUGAGUGGAAUUCCGAGUGUAGAGGUGAAAUUCGUAGAUAUUCGGAGGAACACCAGUGGCGAAGGCGGCUCACUGGCUCGACACUGACGCUGAGGUGCGAAAGCGUGGGGAGCAAACAGG
rnacentral:rRNA from 1 species